GAUGAAGAACGCAGCGAAAUGCGAUAAGUAAUGUGAAUUGCAGAAUCCAGUGAAUCAUCGAAUCUUUGAACGCACAUUGCGCCCGCCAGCAUUCUGGCGGGCAUGCCUGUUCGAGCGUCAUUUCAACCCUCGACCUCCCUUUGGGGAAGUCGGCGUUGGGGACCGGCAGCACACCGCCGGCCCUGAAAUGGAGUGGCGGCCCGUCCGCGGCGACCUCUGCGUAGUAAACCAACUCGCACCGGAACCCCGACGUGGCCACGCCGUAAAACUCCCAACUUCUGAACGUUGACCUCGAAUCAGGUAGGACUACCCGCUGAACUUAAGCAUAUCAAUAAGCGAGGA
rnacentral:misc_RNA from 1 species